GGGAAAGAGUUGGCGGUGCAAGUGGAAGUGGGGUAGCUGCGAUUUUUUUGCAAGUUGGGCAAAACAUAUUAAUUGUGAUUUACAAAUUGAUGAAUUUUCUUAUUUCUCAAAACAUAAAAAUGAAAGUAUAUGUGCCUUUGCGAUCCAUCACGCCACUGUUUCCUAUAAUUUGAUUGGACCUCUGCCCAAAUUUCCGAUCGUUGGAGAAAAGGAAAAUAAAAAUAAAAAUCGAAUAUAAGUGUAUAUGAAUAUAAUUCACAAGUUGCCACAUAUUAGUAUAUCGCUUCUUGUUAUAUAAAGAGGCUUCAUGUGAUGCUUCUAGACCGAACCACCUACAUCGGCGUAUGGCCAUAAUUGUAGUUGGGGUCGGGUUAAGGUAAUUUAUCAUUUGUACUAAUUCAUAAUUCUUUUUAUUUUCUGUUAUAAAUAUCAUCUGGAAGGUCCAAGGCCAUAAGUAUUGACGAAUUGUUUAAGAAUCUUUCCAAUAGCCUUUUUAAUACAUGGCUUUUUUGUAUCAUGGAGUUGAGUCAUCCGUGUUAUAGGACUUUUAAAAUACCGAUUGCAGCAUGUUUUCGAUGUGAAAAAUCUGCAUUGGUGUAUUUGUUGAUUUG